UAUUUUAUCCUUUUUCACUUUCACCUUUCUUUUUCAAUUAAUUUUAGAAGUUUAAAAAUAACUAAUUUGAAAUUUUUAUAUAUCUAUAAAAAAUAUAGAUUUUUUUUGUAUAUGAAAUGUUUUGAAUUUUGUAAAACUAAUAUAUAUUUAUAAAAUUGAAUAUUUACAGUUAUACUAAAGUUAUGUUCUAUUCUAUUUUGAAAUAUAAAAUAUAAUUAUAAUUAUACAAUUUCACUUUCUU
rnacentral:lncRNA from 1 species